rnacentral:rRNA from 1 species
CGGAGGAGCUAGCGUUAUUCGGAAUUACUGGGCGUAAAGCGCACGUAGGCGGCUUUGUAAGUAAGAGGUGAAAGCCCAGAGCUCAACUCUGGAAUUGCCUUUUAGACUGCAUCGCUUGAAUCAUGGAGAGGUCAGUGGAAUUCCGAGUGUAGAGGUUGAAAUUCGUAGAUAUUCGGAAGAACACCAGUGGCGUAAGGCGGCUGGACUGGACAUGUAUUGACGCUGAGUGCGAAAGCGUGGGAGCAAACAGGAUU